UCCCAGUUCGGAUUGUAGUCUGNAACCCGACUACAUGAAGCUGGAAUCGCUAGUAAUCGCAGGUCAGCAUACUGCGGUGAAUACGUUCCCGGGUCUUGUACACACCGCCCGUCACACCAUGGGAGCCGGAAAUGCCCGAAGCCAGUGACCCAACCUUAGGGAGGGAGCUGUCGAAGGUGGAGCCGGUAACUGGGGUGAAGUCGUAACAAGGUACC
rnacentral:rRNA from 1 species